CCCCCCCUUAAUAGGUGUGGACGUCUUCCUGAACAGCCUGAAGCAGACGGUGGUGACCCUGGCAAGCAGCGCAGACGUGCUGAGCACCGAGCAGUCGGCCUCCCAGGCCAUGCUGCAGAGCGGCUGGUCCAUGCUGUUGCCCACCGCUGAGAAGCAGGCCCGGGCACUCUGCUCUCCUGCCCUGCGGAGUUUCAGGCAAUGAAGUGAGCAUAAGUCCAGGUCAUCGAUUGGUGAUUGAUCUUCUGGUGGGCAGCUUGAUGGCUGCUGGAGGGUUGGAGUCAGCCUUACACGCAGCCAUUACUGCAGAGAUCCAGGAUACAAAAAAAGAAGCACGGAAGGAAAAAGAAAUUUAUGAACAGGAAGCAAAUGCCUCAACAUUUCAUAGAAGGAGGACUCCAUUGGAUAAAGGCCUUAUUAAUACGGGGAUCUGUGAGUCUUCUGGCAAACAGUGUUUGCCUCUGGUUCAGCUCAUACAACAGCUUCUUAGGUAAAUCAUAUUAGCUGUAUUGUAUUGUGUUUUAUUUAUUUACUUUUUUGUUUUUUGAGACAGAGUUUCGCUCUUGUUGCCCAGGCCGGAGUGCAGUGGUGCGAUCUUGACUCACUGCAACCUCCGCCUCCCAGGUUCAAGUAAUUCCUCUGCCUCAGCCUCUCGAGCAGCUGGGAUUACAGGCAUGCGCCACCAUGCCCCACUAAUUUUGUAGUUUUGUUAGAGACAGGGUUUCUUCAUGUUGGUCAGGCCGGUCUUGAACUCCCGACCUCAGGUGGUCCAUCCACUUUGGCCUCCCAAAAUGUUGGGAUUACAGGCAUUAGCCACCACGCCUGGCCUAUUUAUUUACUUAUUAAUGGUGUUUUUUUUUUGUUUUUUUUUUUUUUUGAGAUGGAGUCUUGCUCUAUCGUCCAGGCUGGAGUGCAGUGUCACGAUCUUGGCUCACUGCAACCCCCGCCUCCUGGGUUCAAGCUAUUCUCCUGCCUCAGCCUCCCGAGUAGCUGGGACUACAGGCGUCUGCAACCACACCUGGCUGAUUUUUGUAUUUUUAGUAGAGAUGGGGUUUUACCAUAUUGGUCAGGCUGGUCUCAAAUUCCUGACGUCAGGUGACCCACCUGCCUUGGCCUCUCAAAAUGUUGGGAUUACAGGUGUUAGCCACUGUGCCUGGCCUGUAUUGUAUUUUAAUAGGUGAUUAUUGGUUUUCAUAUUAAGAUAGUGAAAUCUAGCGCAAGGAUCUCAAAAAUUUGUUUGAUGAUUGAAGGAAUAUUCUGAAAAUUACCUAGUAUAGAUGUUAGGAUAAAGAGCAGACCCUUUUCAAUAUAGGUGAGAGGAGAAGUUGGAGGGUGUGAUGAUACUCAAAAGUUUUUCACUGAAGAGAAAUUGGGGCGUGCAGUAAACAUGUAAAAAGAUUCUUACUAAUAAGCAGGUGGAUGCAAAUGAAAAUCAUCAUGGAAGGUUAUUUUUAAAACUGGUUCUAUCAUUGCCUCACUUUAUAUAUUACAGAGUUAUACAUACUACUUUGUAAGAUAACUUUUCUUUUCAAAACUGAAGUCAAUGUGAUAGAAUGGUGAGCAUUAUUUUGGAAGGCCAGACUAGGAGGAGGUGGGAGGAAGAAGUCAGACUCAGCCUGUGAACAGACGCUAACCUUGGCAGAAGCCAAAACAGUCAGACAGUGUUGUCUAAAAAUGAUCAUUCAAGAAGAGCGAAACAGCAAGGUGAUUUGUGAAAGAGAUUUAUUAGAAAAUGAAACACAUUUAUACCUCUGUUCAAUAAAAAUCUGCUUUUCGUCAA